rnacentral:rRNA from 1 species
UGCCAGCCGCCGCGGUAAUACGGAGGGUGCAAGCGUUAAUCGGAAUUACUGGGCGUAAAGGGUACGUAGGCGUCCUAUUAAGUCAGAUGUGAAAUCCUAUGGCUCAACCAUAGAACUGCAUUUGAAACUGGUAGGAUAGAGUUCAGAAGGGGUAAGUGGAAUUAGUGGUGUAGGGGUAAAAUCCGUAGAUAUCACUAGGAAUACCAAAAGCGAAGGCGACUUACUGGGAUGAUACUGACGCUGAGGUACGAAAGCGUGGGGAGCAAACGGGAUUAGAUA